UUUGCUUUUUCCUUGGUGUUACUUGUGACUCUCCCUGAAGGUGUCAUAAAUCCAAGUAUUGCUGGUCUUGGGGUCACAUAUGGCUUAAGUUUGAAUGUUCUACAAGCCACAGUAAUAUGGAACAUAUGCAACGCAGAA